rnacentral:rRNA from 1 species
UACAGAGGGUGCAAGCGUUGUUCGGAAUUAUUGGGCGUAAAGCGCGUGUAGGCGGCUUGGCAAGUCGGGUGUGAAAUCCCUCAGCUUAACUGAGGAAGUGCGCCCGAAACUGCCGAGCUUGAGUACCGGAGAGGGUGGCGGAAUUCCCCAAGUAGAGGUGAAAUUCGUAGAUAUCGGGAGGAACACCAGUGGCGAAGGCGGCGAUCUGGGAAGAUACUGACGCUGAGGUGCGAAAGCGUGGGGAGCAAACAGG